rnacentral:lncRNA from 10 species
UUAUUAUUUUGUAUUUUAUAUCGCGUGUGCAUGGGUGGGUGUCCAUUAUUUCAGGAGAGAGAAGUGAAGAAUGAGUGGAAUCUUGCACUCUGCCUCCAAAUGAUCACCCAUCAGUACAUUCAGAUUCAAAUACGAAGUGGAAAAGAAAAAAUCCAUGGAGAAGCUGCGUUCCUGGAGGCUCACCGUUCAUGUAGACCUACUCAUUCCCCCGAGCACGCUGAGUCCAGCCUUGCAGAUAAAGAAUUUCAUCCAGAAAGAAAAGGUUUCCUCAUUCAAAAGUGUGCUGAAAAUACUGCGCAUGUGUGAAUUCAAGAAUAACCAGGGAGUGGGCGAGGUCGAGGUUUGAAUUAUCCUGGUAAAAACAUACUUUUUCCCAUUUGUCUAAACAUCUUGAAUCCACUUUCAGCCAGUUGUACACAUCAUGAGGGGGAAAUGUUUUAAGGGAGAAUUUACUAGUUAUCUCAACAUUUCAUUGGCAAAGACUGACUUAAGAGAGGAAAUAUACAUUGAAAAAUUAAUUUUCUGACUUUGGCUUCGUCAAAAUCAAACUACGUUUCAUUUCCCAGUCACAUGCCCUCCCCGUAACACCUGUUUGGCGGUCUCUGUGAUGCAGUGAGACACACCCGGAAACAGCCUCGCGGAGUGCUCAUCCUUCUGUGAUGCGGUGAAACACACCCGGAAACAGCCUCGCUGAGUGCUCAUCCUUCUGUCAUGCGGUGAGACACACCCGGAAACAGCCUCGCUGAGUGCUCAUCCUUCUGUGAUGCAGUGAGACACACCCGGAAACAGCCUCGCUGAGUGCUCAUCCUUCUGUGAUGCGGUGAGACACGCCCGGAAACAGCCUCGCCGAGUGCUCAUCCUUCUGUGAUGCAGUGAGACACAACCGGAAACAGCCUCGCUGAGUGCUCAUCCUUCUGUGAUGCGGUGAAACACACCCGGAAACAGCCUCGCUGAGUGCUCAUCCUUCUGUGAUGCGGUGAGACGCACCCGGAAACAGCCUCGCUGAGUGCUCAUCCUUCUGUGAUGCGGUGAGACGCACCCGGAAACAGCCUCGCUGAGUGCUCAUCCUUCUGUGAUGCGGUGAGACGCACCCGGAAACAGCCUCGCUGAGUGCUCAUCCUUCUGUGAUGCGGUGAUACACACACGGAAACAGCCUCAGGCGGUGAGACGCACCCGGAAACAGCCUUGCAGAGUGCUCAUCCCGCGCUGGGUCUUCUUGAUCUAGUUUUGGAAAAACAUCGUACCGGAGGAGGCAGGGGCCCCCAAACCAGUGAGAGACAAGUCCAGUGCCCUGGGAAGAAUGUUUCACUUCUCAUGUGGACUUCCUUUUAAUUUCUUCAGUGUGGCCCCAGGAAAUAGUGCAUUUGAACCUUUGUACAGGCACACCCCUCACAGUCAGAGGGUGGGAUCACAGAGCACACGGAAGCCCACACAGCUUCUGCCAAACACUAUACUGACCCAGCUAAAUGCUGCGGGUUUGUCUCAUGCUCCUGUUUUCCUGCCUUGACCUGUGGACCUUCAUGAUGAUGAAAUAGAAAAAUAUAUGUAAAAAUACAGGCCUGAAACAGCACGUUUCAAAGCGGCUCAAGUUGAUCACAGUGGAGCACAUCUAGAAGUUUCGUUGCUAGGGCCGUGAGUUUUGGGUCAAUAAUAACACAAACAUAUGACAAUCCAUUAAUCAUUUUCUAUUUAAUAUGUAAAAUGUAUUUGUUAGGCCUUUAUUUCAAUGAAAUUACUUAUUUUAUUACAAUCAAAGUUGUCACAUAAGUUAUCUUCUAUUGAGUAAUGAUGGACUCAGAGUCAGCCGCUCUUGGACUAGAUACCUGUUUUGUAAAUAAAGUUUUAUUGGAAAAUGGCUAUUCCCAUUUUGUGAUGUAUCAUCUAUGGCUGCCUCCUCCCCACUCUGCAGAGUCAAUGGCUGUGGCAGAGGCCAUGGUCACCAGGCCUCGGCCUUUUAGAAAAAAUGUUUUGCAACACCUGAUUUAAAGGACUGACAAGUAAAAUAUUAUUGUAUCCAAGGCAUAAGAAUUUUUUUUCUUUUCUUUUUUUCUUUUUUGGACAGAGUCUCGCUCUGUCACCAGGCUGGAGUGUAGUGGCAUAAUCUUGGCUCACUGCAAUCUCCAUCUCCUGGGUUCAAGCCAUUCUCCUGCCUCAGCCUCCUGGGUAGCUGGGACUACAGUUGCACGCCACCAUGUCCAGGUAAUUUUUGUAUUUUUAGUAGAGAUGGGGUUUCACCAUG